rnacentral:rRNA from 1 species
GCCAUCCCCAUCCCCAUUGUCUCUCCCCCUCCCCCAUCAAUAAUAUCCGCCCCGCAUCCCCAACCUUCCUUCGCUUCUACCAUCUAUCUCCCUCCGAUUCGUCGCCUUGGCCAUCUUCUUCGCGUUGGGUUUCAAGGUCGGCAUGUCCUCUUCGCCUACCGAUGCCAUCCAGUGCUACCUUCGAUUCUGAUUGAGUGAUCGUUCAACAAUGAUGAAGUCCCAUGGCGUUGUAGUCUUAGAUCAUGACUGCCCCAUCAACGCAUCAUGAAAUCCUCACCAAAGGUCAUGUUCAUUCAACACUACUGGGAACCGCUGAAAGUUGUACAAUGAUGAAGACCAUAAGUGUUACCAAUAAACAAUGAGUAUUUGAAAGAAGUGCUUCUAGCAUGGCGGGAAGUCAUGUAAGUGUAAAGGCUACAACCUUGAUUCUCACAAAAAGGGUGCCACAUUGAGUUUGCAAUUGCGCCAUUGCGGGCAAUGGAGCCAGCUUUUGGGUCCUUCCCUUACAUAGAAAAGGCAUGCCUUUGGGUUCCUUCUUAUUUUCCUGACCGUCAAGUUUUUUUAAUAAUUUCCAGCAAUAAAAAGAUUGUGCUUUCACACACCUCUUUUAUGUUUGCGUGUUUGGAAUAAUUUUGAUCUUAUGUUUUAUUAUGUUCUGUCCAAUGUUGGCAUGUCUUCAAAGCGAAACCAUCUUAUUUGCAAACCUUGAAGGCAUGUAUUGUUGAAUGAAAUGUUAUAAAUAAACCGAGGAUGCUUGCUUAUAUUGCUUCCAUCCUUCCUUCGUUACACAUUAAUACAAGAAAGUUGGACAGGGGACACUCUGGUUUCUUCCUUCUGGCCCCACUUCUAAUUGUACUACCC